AGGCAAAGCCGGGAGAAACUGCUGAGACGAGGUGGCAGCGGGGACCACGUGAGAUGGCGUAUGUGGCCUUGAGCGAUAAACCUCACCUGUCGGGGGAGGUGGGCGAGGAAGCCUGCAGCUCCUGGAACCCACCACUUUUCUCUCCCAGGCCCUUGCCCAGGCUGUGGCCUCUGCCUGGAACCCCUUUUCUUCCCAUCCGAGCCCUUCCCUUCAGUGCCUCUUCCUCUGGGAAGUCCUCUCUGGUGCCCAGCCCGUCCUCUUCUGCCCACUCUGGGUUUCGCACCCCAUGCUUAGGCCCUGAUUGCCUGCUUUGCACACAGGGCUGUGAGCUCCAUGAGGGCAGGAACCACAUGGCUGUUCACAGCUGUGUUGCCAGGGCCUGGCCUGGAGACCCUCAGGAAGUGAGACAUCUGAAUCCUCUGCUCUGUGACCCUGGCAGCCAGGUAGAGCCAUCUUGGCCAUGGCACCCAGGCUUGGAGCAAGCAGCAGCCUCAUGGGUGGGGAACCACGUUUCCCCAGCACAUCGGCAGGCCCUAAGGGGACAUUCGCUUGGCUCUGCCCUCAGAGCACUGAUGCCCGGGGGACACUGCCCUUUGUGUGUCCCAUGUAAGAGAGGAUGCAACCUUAGAGGGGGCAGGGGUAAACAUGGUCCCAGGCCCUGUUGUCCCCUCCUAAGAAAGUUCCCAGUUCUGCCUGUCCAUCCCUGGCCUUUUCCCUGUGCUGUCUGGGACAGUGGGUGGAGCUGCCGCUGAGCGGUGGGACCUAGAAAACACAUACUGACCUAUAGGAGGCACUGCCCAGAGCUCCUAACUGGGGUGGGGUGCAAAGGAAAGGUGGGUGAGG